GAAAGAUUGGUUGAUUUUGCUUGAGAAGAAAUGAUAUAGAGUUUUUAGCUUGCCUAGAUUUUUCUGUUGCUGGGCUCCAAUAUGCUGGUGGGGACUUAACUGCCUGCAAACUAGGUUGGAGAAGAUCGCAUUCUGGAAGUUGGAUAGCGACAUUAUUGCAUAAACAACUCCUCAUUUUAUUUAAUUUGCCUAUCAUGAUAAGAAGUUAAACAGCAAGCGGAACCUUAGACUUAAAAGGAUCCGUGCACUAUCUGUAGUAAUAUCUCAUUAAUAGGAUGCUGGCCUUUGAUUGGGAAUGGCCAACGUGGGGAUAAUUUUGUUCUAAUAAUUAUAAUUCUUAUUCCUUUCCUCUAUUACCUAUAUUAUUGCCCCAACAAGUUCAGGGUCCUUUUAAAGGUAGUUGGAUGCAAUAAAUCUUUCAGAAAUUUUGCAUAUGGUGGAUGCUGUCUUGUCUCUACCUGCAAUCUCUUGGUUGCAAUUGCAGGAUUUUGCCUUUACAAUGGUUGAGAAAAGGGAAAUUGAGAUGGUUUGAACACA
rnacentral:misc_RNA from 1 species